CAAAGAGCUGAUGGUGGAUGCCUUGGCGUUCGGAGCCGAUGAAGGACGUGGCAGGCUGCGAUAAGCCCCGGUGAGUUGUCAAGCGAACAUUGACCCGGGGAUUUCCGAAUUGGUAAACCAGGCUGGGGUCAUGCCCAGUCACUCCGGUCUGAACACAUAGGGCCGGUAGAGGGAACCGGGGGAAUUGAAACAUCUCAGUACCCCGAGGAAAAGAAAGCAAUAGCGAGACCCUGAGUAGCGGCGAGCGAAACGGGUUCAGCCCAAACCGAUGCGGCGUGACAGGUCGACGCCGUUGCCGUGUCGGUGUUGUGGGACCCUUCAGACGGGACGUCGAUCCCGUCAGGAAGUUACAAACUCUGCAGAUAGGCGAAUCCGCUGGGAAGCGGAGCCAUAGGGGGUAACAGCCCCGUAGCCGAAAUCUGUCAGAGCUUCCGAGGGUGAUCCCAAGUAGCACGGGGCACGUGAAAUCCCGUGUGAAUCAGCGAGGACCACCUCGUAAGGCUAAACACUACCGAACGACCGAUAGCGGACUAGUACCGUGAGGGAAAGGUGAAAAGUACCCCGGCGAGGGGAGUGAAACAGUACCUGAAACCAUUAGCUUACAAGCAGUCGGAGGGAUCCUUGUGGUCCUGACGGCCUGCCUUUUGAAGAAUGAGCCGACGAGUCAUCGGUGUGUGGCGAGGUUAAGUCGAGUGAUGGAGCCGCAGCGAAAGCGAGUCUGAAUAGGGCGUCUAGUCGCAUGCCAUGGACCCGAAGCCAGGUGAUCUAUCCAUGGACAGGGUGAAGCGAGGGUAAGACCUCGUGGAGGCCCGAACCCACCUAGGUUGAAAACUGGGGGGAUGAUCUGUGGAUAGGGGUGAAAGGCCAAGCAAACCUGGCGAUAGCUGGUUCUCCCCGAAAUAGCUUUAGGGCUAGCGUCGUAUGUUCCGCAUUGGGGGUAGAGCACUGAUUGGGCAAGGGGGCCAACAAGCUUACCGACCCCAGUUAAACUCCGAAUCCCAAUGCGCUAAGUACGGCAGUCAGACCAUGGGGGAUAAGCUUCAUGGUCGAAAGGGAAACAGCCCAGACCGUCAGCUAAGGUCCCAAAGUCAGAACUAAGUGGGGAACGAUGUGGAGUUGCCCAAACAGCCAGGAGGUUGGCUUAGAAGCAGCCAUUCCUUUAAAGAGUGCGUAACAGCUCACUGGUCGAGUGAUCCCGCGCGGAUGAUGUAACGGGGCUCAAGUUCUGCACCGAAGCUACGGGUUUUCAUCAAUAACCCAGGCCAAUUCCUUCGGGGAUCGGUCCAGGGGAUGAAAGCGGUAGGGGAGCGUCGUGUGGCCGAUGAAGCGGCGGCGGAAGCCAGCCGUGGAGGCCACUCGAGUGAGAAUGUCGGCAUGAGUAGCGAAUGAGGAGUGAGAAUCUCCUCCGCCGGAUGUCCAAGGUUUCCUGGGGAAGGCUCGUCCGCCCAGGGUUAGUCGGGACCUAAGGUGAGGCCGCGAGGCGUAAUCGAUGGAUAACGGGUUGAUAUUCCCGUACUACUGCAGGCGCGUCCAGGCCGAACCCAACUUGCUAAGGAAAGCCCUUCGGGGCCUACCGACCCAGUUGGUAUUAGGCCAGCGAUGGAGUGACGCGGAAGGGUAAGCAGACCCGGGCGAUGGUUGACCCGGGGUAAGCGUGUAGGACGAGGUCCAGGCAAAUCCGGACCUCACAAAGUCCGAGGCGCGAUGCCGAGCCGAAAGAGGCGAAGCUGCUGAACGCCCAUGCCGCCUAGAAAAGCUUCUAGCGAGCUCCUGGAGUACCCGUACCCCAAACCAACACAGGUGGACAAGUAGAGAAUACUAAGGCGAGCGAGAUAACUCUGGUUAAGGAAUUCGGCAAAAUGGCUCCGUAACUUCGGGAGAAGGAGCGCCCCCGUAGGGUGUAGGACUUCGCGUCCGAAGCCCGAAGGGGUUGCAGAUACCAGGCCCAAGCGACUGUUUACUAAAAACACAGGAGCGUGCGAAGUCGCAAGACGCUGUAUACGCUCUGACGCCUGCCCGGUGCUGGAAGGUCAAGUGGAUCGGUUAGCUCUUCGGAGCGAAGCUGUGAAAUCAAGCCCCAGUAAACGGCGGCGGUAACUAUAACCGUCCUAAGGUAGCGAAAUUCCUUGUCGGGUAAUUGAAUUGCCCGUCAGUGAGGGUUACCUCACUUAUCAAACCCACGCAUAACGGCGAAGCCCACACCGACUGCUCGGAUCAAGGAUCGAGCGAUAGUCGACGGGUAAUGCCGUGGGAAGUCCUCUGUCGCACACCAGCGAUAUGACCCCGUAACGACUGAGCCCUUCGGGGCGAGGUGCCGGUAUCUGUCAUACGCAGCUGUGAUGCUGUCGAUAUGACAAAUCUAUCGCUCGUGCAAUACGCGGGCUCUCGCACAGCACUCGACAUUCCUUCGUACCUCUCCGGAUUCUUUGAUGGAGAGGGAUGCUUCUCAAUCUCCUUGUCGCCGCGCAGCAAGUUGCGUGUCGGCUGGGAGGUGCGGCCGAGCAGUUCGGCCAGCCAGAACGAGGAGCGCAGCGAGGUGAUCAGGCUGGCUCAGGCCUACUUCGGAGUGCGGCACGAUCCGUCGGGAUACCGGCGAUCGCACCGUGAAGUGGGAAGUGAGAAGCCUGUCGGUCCUACGGGACCGGGUCAACCCACACUUUCAUGCGUGGCCGAUGCUCUCGGCCAAGCAGACACGACUUCGAGUUCUUCGAUGUCGUGUGCGGACGCAUGGGAACGCGGUGACCACCUUCAUGCAAAGGGGACUGUCGGAAAUCGUGGAGAUUGUUUCUCAUAGUGAAUCCCAGCGGCAUAAGACGCUUUGAUUUGAUGGAGAUGACAACGCGAGCUGAGCGAGAUGAAGGCAUAGUCUAUCCCCCGGGGAAACCCGGGAAUCGGAUGAAGUUCCGACCUGCACGAAUGGCGCAACGACUUGGGCACUGUCUCAACCAGAGACUCGGCGAAAUUGCAAUGUGAGUAAAGAUGCUCACUACCCGCGACAGGACGGAAAGACCCCGGGACCUUUACUGC
rnacentral:rRNA from 1 species